rnacentral:rRNA from 1 species
UACAGAGGGGGCAAGCGUUAUUCGGCAUUAUUGGGCGUAAAGGGCGCGUAGGCGGUUCUUCAAGUCUCUCGUGAAAUCCCUCGGCUUAACUGAGGACGUGCGGGAGAUACUGAAGGGCUUGAGUCCGGAAGAGGGUGGUGGAAUUCCCAGUGUAGCGGUGAAAUGCGUAGAUAUUGGGAGGAACACCGGUGGCGAAGGCGGCCACCUGGGCCGGAACUGACGCUGAGGCGCGAAAGCGUGGGGAGCAAACGGG